rnacentral:misc_RNA from 1 species
AAGUCGUAACGAGGUAACCGUAGGUGAACCUGCGGUUGGAUCAUUAGCGAGCAGCGUUAUGCGUUUUUGUUUUGUCGCGGUGUGGAGUCAACUCACAUCUCCAGUGUGGAGUCAACUCACAUCUCCAAUUGAACCCUUUGCCUUUGCUUUUGACUUUUAAAAAACAACUUUUGACAACGGAUCUCUUGGCUCUC